AAAUAUGAAUCAGAUACUAACAGGUAAGAAACGUUGAAUUUUCAAAAGAAGAGAGAAAAGAGAAUUAGAAUAGAAAAAAAAGAAAAAGAGAAAAAUUGUAUAGAAGAAAAAAAAAGAGUGAAGAAGAAGAAGAAGGAUGCUUGGAGAAUGUGGAAGGAGAUCGGAGACAGAGAAAGGGGCAUACUUCGCCCAAAAUCCUUCACUACUCGCAUUAAGUCCAAUCGAAUUCGCACUCUCCAAAUUUCUAAUCACAAAGAUAUCGUCUCUCCUCACCGAGCCUCCAUCAACUCUCUUCAGGUUGAUUUGACAGAGGGACGAUAUUUGUUAUCCGGAGCAGCAGAUGCUUCAGCAGCUGUUUAUGAUGUUCAACGAGCCACGGAUUACGAGGCUGGGGGUCUCAUAGCAAAGCACAAGUGCCUAUUUGUUGUUGACAAGCAACAUGAACACGGGCAUAAAUAUGCCAUAUCCUCGGCCAUAUGGUAUCCUGUUGACACUGGCCUAUUCAUCACAGGUUCACAUGAUCAUCACAUAAAUGUCUGGGAUACAAAUACCACACAGGUGGUGAUGAAUUUUAAAAUGCCUGGAAAGGUUUAUAGAACUGCCAUGUCCUCAUUGGCAACAACUCACAUGCUAAUUGCUGCUGGAACUGAAGAUGUUCAAGUUCGGCUUUGUGAUAUCGCUUCAGGGGCAUUCUCUCAUACACUAUCUGGUCACCGUGACGGUGUGAUGACGGUGGAGUGGUCAACUUCUAGUGAGUGGGUUUUGGUUACUGGAGGAUGUGAUGGUGCAAUACGGUUUUGGGACAUCAGACGUGCUGGAUGUUUUCUUGUUUUAGACCAGUCUCAUUCUCAGCUUGGGAGACGCCCAACUAUCCCUGAACACUCUGCCACUAAUAAGGCUUUAACAUCUAAGUCCCUAUCAUCUGGCCAAAAUUUGAAUGCAAAACUGCGGGCACAGCAAAGGAAGCUUGCUAAUGGGAAUGGUACAAAACAGUCACCCAUUGGUAGAAUGCCAGCUAAAGGAUCUUUGAGACAGAGAUUGCAUCCAGGGAUGUUGUCUAGUCUGGAUCGUGCCACUGCUCAUUAUGGUGCUGUUACAGGGUUAAAAGCAACCGAAGAUGGCAUGUAUCUUCUAAGUGCAGGUUCUGACUCAAGAUUAAGGUUGUGGGAUGUUGAAUCUGGUUGCAAUACACUUGUGAACUUUGAAACUGUGCGCCUACAAGCAGGCAAGCCAAUACAGUUGGCGACAUCUCAGGAUUCUGACCUUGUUUUUGUUCCAUGCAUGACAGCUGUGAAAGUAAUUAUCCUCUAUAUAGGCAUUUGAUGUAUGGUCAGGCAAUACAUCCCAGACAUUUCGUGGACACUAUGAAUAUGUGAACUCGUGCUGGUUUAGUUCACAGGAACAGAGUUUCUAGAAGUGGAAAAGGCAAAAAGGUGAAAUUGGAUAAAACUUUUGUUUCAGGAAUUAUACACAGGUGGAAAUGAUAAACAAAUUCUUGUCUGGUCACCAUCCAGGUUGAUUGCUGAUGAAAUGGAUGAAGGACCUGCUCAGGAUCGGGAUAACUGGAGUGAUUGACAUUUGCAGCUGAUGCAUUUCUGGCUUUUGAUCUUGACUUUUUGAAUCUCUCUGUCUAAUAUUAGCAUGACCUCUUAAGAGCCACUGUUGUCUGUUCCAUGUGUAUAUGCUCAAAUUGUUAAUUUUCAUAUUAUCUUUUGUUAUCAUAAGUUUUUUGGUUUAUCAGUAUGAUUUGCCACUGUUGUAACAUAGAUUUCUGUGCUGAUUUUAUAAUGAAUUUUUGAUUUUUUUUUAA